rnacentral:rRNA from 1 species
AGUUUGAUCCUGGCUCAGGACGAACGCUGGCGGCGCGCCUAAAACAUGCAAGUCGAACGAGAAGCCCGGGCUUGCCCGGGUGGACAGUGGCGAACGGGUGAGUAACACGUGAGGAACCUGCCCCGAAGACCGGGACAACACCGGGAAACCGGUGCUAAUACCGGAUGCCUUCACCGGAUCGCAUGGUCUGGUGAAGAAAUGGAUUCCGCUUCGGGAUGGCCUCGCGGCCUAUCAGCUUGUUGGUGAGGUAACGGCUCACCAAGGCAACGACGGGUAGCUGGUCUGAGAGGAUGUCCAGCCACACUGGGACUGAGACACGGCCCAGACUCCUACGGGAGGCAGCAGUUAGGAAUCUUGCGCAAUGGACGAAAGUCUGACGCAGCGACGCCGCGUGCGGGAUGAAGGCCUUCGGGUUGUAAACCGCUUUCAGCAGGGACGAAAUUGACGGUACCUGCAGAAGAAGCCCCGGCCAACUACGUGCCAGCAGCCGCGGUAAUA